CCUACGGGUGGCAGCAGUCGAGAAUUAUUCACAAUGGGGGAAACCCUGAUGGUGCGACGCCGCGUGGGGGAAUGAAGGUCUUCGGAUUGUAAACCCCUGUCAUGUGGGAGCAAAUUAAAAAGAUAGUACCACAAGAGGAAGAGACGGCUAACUCUGUGCCAGCAGCCGCGGUAAUACAGAGGUCUCAAGCGUUGUUCGGAAUCACUGGGCGUAAGGCGUGCGGAGGCUGGUUCGUAAGGCGUGUGUGAAAGGUCCGGGCUCAACCCGCGGACGGCACAUGAUACUGCGAGACUAGAGUAAUGGAGGGGGAACCGGAAUUCUCGGUGUAGCAGUGAAAUGCGUAGAUAUCGAGAGGAACACUCGUGGCGAAGGCGGGUUCCUGGACAUUAACUGACGCUGAGGCACGAAGGCCAGGGGAGCGAAAGGGAUUAGAUACUCGGGUAGUC
rnacentral:rRNA from 1 species